UUGGUCUUCUCUUUCACAUUUCCACGACUUUUUUUUUUUUUUGGUAUAAGGAUUUCCACGACCUGUGAAGAAGAACUGAAACAAAGAGAAACCAGAAACCCUUGAAGGAGCUCUGUUGGCCCGUAAUGGCGCCUUUGAAGUUCCUAGUUUUAUCGAUAUUCUUAGCCCUAAUUUUCACCAAAACCACGGCCGAUUCAGUCACUCACGAUGAAAAUAUUGCAUCAGAUGUCUCAGAUUCGUCUUUGAAGAUCGAAUUGGAGCAGGUCAAGGCGAAGAUCUCUGUUCUAGAAUCUAGCAUUGAAGAGAAAACCCGAGAGUUGAAGAGCAAGGAUGAGAGCAUUGCUCAGAUGGAGAAGACCAUCCAAGAAAAGUCAGAUGGCAUUGUAUCAUUACAAAAUGAGAUACAUUCGCUCCAGAAAAAAGGUACUGUAGAUGUUGAGGAGCAGAUGGGGAAAGCACAUGCCUGGGCUGGUGAACUUGAGAAGCAGGUUGAGAAGCUCAAAAGAGAACUCGAAGUGCAGAAAAAGAAUAAAGAUACCUUGGAAGCGCGAGCAAGUGAAGCUGAAAAGAAAAUUGAUGUACUGAUUAUGAAAAUAGAACAUCUCCAGAAGAUUAAUGAUGAACAGAAGAUUGGAAUUCGCAAAACUGAACGUGCUCUACUAGUUGCUGAGGAGGAGAUGAUGAAGGCAAAGUUGGAGGCCAAUUUGAAGAUUAAAGAGUUGAUGCAGGUUAGUGGUGCAUGGCUUCCCCCUUGGCUUGAAGGUCAUUUAGUUCAUUUUCAGUCUGUUGUGGCAGAACAUUGGAAUAAGCAUGGGAAACCAGCAAUGGACACUGUGGUCAAAAAGGCAUUGGAGAAAAAUACUCAAGCUCAGAAGUGGGCUGAACCCCAUAUUGAAACAGUUAAAAGUAGAUGGAUCCCAACUUUGAAGGAACAAUGGUUGACAGUUACAACACAUGCUGAACCACACAUCCAAUUAGUAACUAAGAGAGGCAUUGAGUUCUGUGAGACAUCUAAAAGCGCCAUUGCACCAUAUGUCGUUAAAGUACAAGAAUUUGCUGAUCCUUACUUCCAGGAAACCAAGAAGUUUACCAAGCCAUACAUCGAUCAGGUUGCCACUGCAGCAAAACCUCAUGUUGAUAAAGCACGUGUUACCUUGAAACCAUAUACAAAAAAGGUAGUUCACAGUUAUGGAAAAUUUCUUGAGUCAGCAUCCACUCACCACCGCCAGGUUCAAGAUUCUGUACGGGAAACACUGAAAAAGCAUGAAAUAACGAGCCCUCUUGCAACUAAAGAGCUAGUGUGGUUUGCGGCGUCUGCUUUACUGGCUCUUCCAAUAAUAAUCCUAACUAGACUGCUUUCAGCCACUUUCUGUGGGAAAGCAAAGAAACCUGCUCGGAAUGCCCAUACUACUAGCCACGCACGCCGGAGACCUAAACGGGGGCAUUCUGACAGGUAGAGUGCCAUGGAUAUUUGGAUGUAGAUUCUUUGUUGCAUAUCAAAUUCAAGCUUAGUGGCAGAAAGGGCAUAGCUUCUGUACUGGUGAAAUACUUCCAUUCCAUUGGAACCUUGAGGGUUGCUUGGUCAAAAACUCUUGGAGGAUAGUUUAGUGUUGAAAGAUGUAUGACUUGUAUAAUGUAGAAAAAAUAUGAAGACUGGGGGAAGGGAGGAAAUUUUGUUCUCUUUUAUAUAUAUAUCUUGAUAACUGCCGUAACAUAUUUAAUCUGCCUUUGAGAUUUGUUGUAGCCUUGAAAUUGGUUUAAGUUAAUUUUUCAGACGAGCUCCAUUAGUGAA